AAAUUGAAGAGUUUGAUCAUGGCUCAGAUUGAACGCUGGCGGCAGGCCUAACACAUGCAAGUCGAACGGUAACAGGAAGCAGCUUGCUGCUUUGCUGACGAGUGGCGGACGGGUGAGUAAUGUCUGGGAAACUGCCUGAUGGAGGGGGAUAACUACUGGAAACGGUAGCUAAUACCGCAUAACGUCGCAAGACCAAAGAGGGGGACCUUCGGGCCUCUUGCCAUCGGAUGUGCCCAGAUGGGAUUAGCUAGUAGGUGGGGUAAAGGCUCACCUAGGCGACGAUCCCUAGCUGGUCUGAGAGGAUGACCAGCCACACUGGAACUGAGACACGGUCCAGACUCCUACGGGAGGCAGCAGUGGGGAAUAUUGCACAAUGGGCGCAAGCCUGAUGCAGCCAUGCCGCGUGUAUGAAGAAGGCCUUCGGGUUGUAAAGUACUUUCAGCGGGGAGGAAGGGAGUAAAGUUAAUACCUUUGCUCAUUGACGUUACCCGCAGAAGAAGCACCGGCUAACUCCGUGCCAGCAGCCGCGGUAAUACGGAGGGUGCAAGCGUUAAUCGGAAUUACUGGGCGUAAAGCGCACGCAGGCGGUUUGUUAAGUCAGAUGUGAAAUCCCCGGGCUCAACCUGGGAACUGCAUCUGAUACUGGCAAGCUUGAGUCUCGUAGAGGGGGGUAGAAUUCCAGGUGUAGCGGUGAAAUGCGUAGAGAUCUGGAGGAAUACCGGUGGCGAAGGCGGCCCCCUGGACGAAGACUGACGCUCAGGUGCGAAAGCGUGGGGAGCAAACAGGAUUAGAUACCCUGGUAGUCCACGCCGUAAACGAUGUCGACUUGGAGGUUGUGCCCUUGAGGCGUGGCUUCUGGAGCUAACGCGUUAAGUCGACCGCCUGGGGAGUACGGCCGCAAGGUUAAAACUCAAAUGAAUUGACGGGGGCCCGCACAAGCGGUGGAGCAUGUGGUUUAAUUCGAUGCAACGCGAAGAACCUUACCUGGUCUUGACAUCCACGGAAGUUUUCAGAGAUGAGAAUGUGCCUUCGGGAACCGUGAGACAGGUGCUGCAUGGCUGUCGUCAGCUCGUGUUGUGAAAUGUUGGGUUAAGUCCCGCAACGAGCGCAACCCUUAUCCUUUGUUGCCAGCGGUCCGGCCGGGAACUCAAAGGAGACUGCCAGUGAUAAACUGGAGGAAGGUGGGGAUGACGUCAAGUCAUCAUGGCCCUUACGACCAGGGCUACACACGUGCUACAAUGGCGCAUACAAAGAGAAGCGACCUCGCGAGAGCAAGCGGACCUCAUAAAGUGCGUCGUAGUCCGGAUUGGAGUCUGCAACUCGACUCCAUGAAGUCGGAAUCGCUAGUAAUCGUGGAUCAGAAUGCCACGGUGAAUACGUUCCCGGGCCUUGUACACACCGCCCGUCACACCAUGGGAGUGGGUUGCAAAAGAAGUAGGUAGCUUAACCUUCGGGAGGGCGCUUACCACUUUGUGAUUCAUGACUGGGGUGAAGUCGUAACAAGGUAACCGUAGGGGAACCUGCGGUUGGAUCACCUCCUUACCUUAAAGAAGC
rnacentral:rRNA from 1 species